rnacentral:tRNA from 1 species
UAUAAUUUAGUAUAUGAAGUACCUAGAUUUUUGAUAUCUAAAGGAAUAGUUUGAUUCUGUUAAUUAUAA